UGUUAACAAGCCUGUGUCAAGUACAUUUGAUAAGAAAAACAGGAGGAAGAGGGCUGCCAUCCAUCUGAACCAAGGAAAGAAAUUGAAGAGGAUUAAGUUAGAUGAUGAAAUUGUUACUGCAUAUAACAAAUAUCUCAGCAAGAGGAUAAUGAGGAAAGUGUCAAUCAAUCCAAAUGCGAAUAAUGAUGAACAAGAACAACCCCCACCAUUUGUUCGAAUUGAUGGCUUCCAUGUUACUUAUGAUGAAUUCUAUGGAUCCUUCAAGCAAAGGGGGGAAAUUAAUAACCAUGUGAUGGCUUUAUGGUCCUAUGAAUUCAACAUUGAAGAAGAUGAAUUGCGUGAGAAGGACAAUAACAUCGUUAAGAAAUUUGCUUUAUCUACUGUUCUCACUGACAAGCUAAAAAUUGAACCUGAUAAUUUCAUACAAGACAGCUGCCACAUGGCUUUGACAAAGUUGAACAAGUCUUGGGAUCUCUCAAAAAUGGAUCCGGUACUGUGUUGCACAAUUAAGUUGCCUUUCAUUUCCCAUUCUUUUUUUUUCUUAUCUAUUUCUUUUAGUUGUUUUUCCCUAUUGUUGAAGAAGGGCAUUGGGUACUUGUUAGUGUCAACAUGUUUCUAAAGGAAAUUUGCUGGUUCAAUUCUCUUGGGGGAUCUCAUGAUACGAAAUAUUUUGUUUCUGCCAAGAAUGUGGUCACCAAUUUUUCAAAAGCAUGUUUACAACCUGGGGUGCUAAACAAAGACAUCUCUCUGUUUGAUUGGAAAUAUCCCACGGACUACCCGCAUCAAAAAUCUUUGUAAGUUUUUCAUCAUUCAUGUGCUUACAUAAAGAAUUAUUCAUGCAGUUUUUUCAUCUUUUCUCACCAUGUUUAUUUUGAUAACCCAAUUCUUUUUGUUUUCAUGCAUGAUUAUGGGUUAUACACAAUGCUAUAUAUGGAGUCUUGGAAUGGGAAGAAGAUGGACACCACAUUUGAGCCACACAUGAUUGCAAACUAUAGGAAAUUGGUUGCAGGCAUUCUCCUACUUUCUCCAAGAAAUGAUAUCCUGACAAGCGAGUUUGUUGAAAAGUAUUGCAACUAGAAGUAGUGACAUCAUGUUUCGUUGUGCAAUAUAGGAGUUUAGGUCUCUGUAUAUAGUUAACAAUCAUCUUAGAAAUAUGGAUGUAUGGAGUAUUCAGGAUUGUGGGAUACCAAUUAUUUUCCUCAGCUUAGUUUUUUUAUAUGUUGCCGUAGUGCACUUUAUAUGUUGCGAAUUCUGCUUUACUAUGUUGCAGAAAUGUUGGCUUUUA